rnacentral:rRNA from 1 species
AGAGUUUGAUCCUGGCUCAGAAUCAACGCUGGCGGCGUGCCUAACACAUGCAAGUCGAGCGAGAAAAGGGUAGCAAUAUCCUGAGUAAAGCGGCGCCGGGUGAGUAACACGUGGGUAAUCUGCCCUGGAGUGGGGAAUAACACCGGGAAACCGGUGCUAAUACCGCAUACGAUCGCGAUGUCUGCGGACGUUGUGAUGAAAGGAGCAAUUCGCUCCAGGAGGAGCCCGCGGCUGAUUAGCUAGUUGGUGAGGUAAUGGCUCACCAAGGCUACGAUCAGUAUCCGGUCUGAGAGGACGGUCGGACACACUGGAACUGAGACACGGUCCAGACUCCUACGGGAGGCAGCAGUGGGGAAUUUUUGGCAAUGGGGGCAACCCUGACCAAGCAACGCGCGUGGGUGAUGAAGUCUCUUGGGACGUAAAACCCUUUCGACGGGGAAGAAACCGCAAGGUUGACGGUACCCGUAGAAGAAGCCCCGGCUAACUCCGUGCCAGCAGCCGCGGUAAUACGGGGGGGGCAAGCGUUGUUCGGAAUUACUGGGCGUAAAGGGUGCGUAGGCGGUGCUCUAAGUCGGAUGUGAAAACUCUGGGCUCAACCCAGAGCCUGCAUCCGAAACUGGAGUGCUAGAGUUCUGGAGGGGGUAGCGGAAUUCCUGGUGUAGCGGUGAAAUGCGUAGAUAUCAGGAGGAACACCGGUGGCGAAGGCGGCUACCUGGACAGAAACUGACGCUGAGGCACGAAAGCUAGGGGAGCAAACAGGAUUAGAUACCCUAGUAGUCC